rnacentral:rRNA from 1 species
AUUGAACGCUGGCGGCAUGCCUUACACAUGCAAGUCGAACGGCAGCACGGGAGCAAUCCUGGUGGCGAGUGGCGAACGGGUGAGUAAUAUAUCGGAACGUGCCCAGUCGUGGGGAUAACGCAGCGAAAGCUGUGCUAAUACCGCAUACGAUCUAUGGAUGAAAGCGGGGGAUCGCAAGACCUCGCGCGAUUGGAGCGGCCGAUAUCAGAUUAGCUAGUUGGUGGGGUAAAGGCCCACCAAGGCGACGAUCUGUAGCUGGUCUGAGAGGACGACCAGCCACACUGGAACUGAGACACGGUCCAGACUCCUACGGGAGGCAGCAGUGGGGAAUUUUGGACAAUGGGCGCAAGCCUGAUCCAGCAAUGCCGCGUGCAGGAUGAAGGCCUCGGUUGUAACUAGCUUUGUUACGGUACGAAACGGACCCGUUUACC